rnacentral:rRNA from 1 species
GACGAACGCUGGCGGCGUGCUUAGCACAUGCAAGUCGAACGGAAAGGCCCUGCUUUUGUGGGGUGCUCGAGUGGCGAACGGGUGAGCAACACGUGAGUAACCUGCCCUUGACUUUGGGAUAACUUCAGGAAACUGGGGCUAAUACCGGAUAGGAGCUCCUGCUGCAUGGUGGGGGUUGGAAAGUUUCGGCGGUUGGGGAUGGACUCGCGGCUUAUCAGCUUGUUGGUGGGGUAGUGGCUUACCAAGGCUUUGACGGGUAGCCGGCCUGAGAGGGUGACCGGCCACAUUGGGACUGAGAUACGGCCCAGACUCCUACGGGAGGCAGCAGUGGGGAAUAUUGCACAAUGGGCGGAAGCCUGAUGCAGCAACGCCGCGUGCGGGAUGACGGCCUUCGGGUUGUAAACCGCUUUCGCCUGUGACGAAGCGUGAGUGACGGUAAUGGGUAAAGAAGCACCGGCUAACUACGUG